AAGAUUAAAGCUCUCAUCCUUCAAGGGUGCUCAGGCCUGUGUCCUGAAGGAGGGUGCAGGGGAAAGAUGGGGCCUGUCCACCCGAGGGAAGCAUGACUGGGCCAGGGUGUGGGCCAGGAGCAGGGCCGCGCUAACCCUCCCCUCAGCUGGGCUUGAUCAUGCUGUGUCCCUGGGCUGGACAGCAGUAAAGGGGGCGCAGCGUGGAAGGCUCGCCUCCCUGAAAGCCUGGUGCUCUGUCCGGCAGAUGGAAGCCAUUGGGAAGCUUUCAGAUGACAUGCGGCGGCACUUCCGCAUGAAGCUUCGGAACCUGUUCACCAAGUUCAUCCGCAAGUUUGGAUUUGAGCUGGUGAAAAGGCUGUUGCCCGAGGAGUACCACAAAGUCCUGGUCAACAUCCGGAAAGCUGAGGCCCGGGCCAAGAGGCAUCGAGCCCUCAGCCAGGCUGCCAUGGAGGAGGAUGAAGAGGAGGAGGAGGAGGAGGAGCCCGCCCAGGGCAAAGGCGACAGCAUUGAGGAGAUUUUAGCUGACUCAGAGGAUGAGGAGGACAAUGAGGAGGAGGAAAGAAGCCGAGGCAAGGAGCAGCGGAAGCUGGCACGACAGAGGAGCCGGGCAUGGCUGAAAGAGGGUGGUGGGGACGAGCCCCUCAACUUCCUGGAUCCCAAGGUGGCCCAGCGAGUCCUGGCCACACAGCCAGGGCCAGGCCGGGGCAGGAAGAAGGACCACGGCUUCAAGGUGAGCGCCGAUGGCCGGCUGAUCAUAAGGGAGGAGGCAGACGGCAACAAGAUGGAGGAAGAGGAAGGCGCCAAAGGUGAAGAUGAAGAGAUGGCUGACCUAAUGGAAGAUGUGAUCGUCAGGAGUAAAAAGCACCAGAAGCUCAAGCACCAGAAAGAGGCUGAGGAGGAGGAGCUGGAGAUACCCCCUCAGUACCAAGCUGGAGGCUCUGGCAUUCAUCGCCCUGUGGCCAAGAAGGCUAUGCCUGGGGCCGAAUACAAGGCCAAGAAAGCAAAAGGUGAUGUGAAGAAGAAAGGCCGGCCGGAUCCCUAUGCCUACAUCCCCCUCAACAGAAGCAAGCUCAACCGCAGGAAGAAGAUGAAGCUGCAGGGACAGUUCAAAGGCCUGGUGAAGGCUGCCCGGCGAGGUUCCCAGGUGGGACACAAAAACCGCAGAAAGGAUCGUCGGCCCUGAGGCCCAGGGCCCCUGGGCUGCCCUGUGGUCCAGUCUGAGGCCCUUUUAGUCCCCAGGCUGCCUUGCCACCAGCUCCAGGUGCUCAAGAUUCUGGCAGAGCCUGGACUCAGGAUGACUUGGAACUGGGGCUUGGCUCUCAGAAGUCCUGGAUUUUGGAAACUCCAAAUGGAAUCACCCUUCAGAGACAUCCCUGGUGCCUGGAGAUGGGAAUGUGGCCUCAGUGCCUCUGAGUAGGUGCCAUGAGGCACCUUUGCUUUCUGCCCAGAGUGGCCAUGAGCACCAGAACAGAUGAUCUCCGUUUCCGCCAGCUGCUUGUAGCCACGUGGCAUCCUGGCUGUGGUCUGGGUGAGAUUUAUUGUGACCAGAUGCAGAAUAAAUGUGUCUCAUCCUGCAUUUUUUUUCUAGAAACUGUUUCAUAAUCUGCCCCCUCCAGGGGUAAGAACAGUGUCCAGUUGUUGGCAGCAGUGGCCUGACCUCUUCCUGUCUAACUCCUUACAUCCAGUCCAGGGCAUAUCAUAAUGCUUUGCCCAUAGGACAGGCUUUGGAACUUGCCCGGGAGCACCCACCUGUGUCAGGAGGGGCAGCGAAUGCCCCAGGGCUGGUGUCAGGAGCUGCAGUUCAGCACCAGGGACUGCCCCAGCUGCCCUGGGCACAAGUCUCUCCAGCAUCUUUGUUCACUGAUUGAACAAAGUGUUUGCUGAGCCCCUCCAAGUGCCCAGCAUAGCCUGGUUCAUUC
rnacentral:sRNA from 1 species